AUUGAACGCUGGCGGCAUGCCUUACACAUGCAAGUCGAACGGCAGCACGGGAGCAAUCCUGGUGGCGAGUGGCGAACGGGUGAGUAAUAUAUCGGAACGUGCCCGGUCGUGGGGGAUAACGUAGCGAAAGCUACGCUAAUACCGCAUACGAUCUACGGAUGAAAGCGGGGGAUCGCAAGACCUCGCGCGAUUGGAGCGGCCGAUAUCAGAUUAGGUAGUUGGUGAGGUAAAGGCUCACCAAGCCGACGAUCUGUAGCUGGUCUGAGAGGACGACCAGCCACACUGGGACUGAGACACGGCCCAGACUCCUACGGGAGGCAGCAGUGGGGAAUUUUGGACAAUGGGCGCAAGCCUGAUCCAACAAUGCCGCGUGCAGGAUGAAGGCCUUC
rnacentral:rRNA from 1 species